AAUCAUUUUAGGAGGUUUAUUUGCCACAGUUAAGGAUGUAUGCCCGGGAGACAGGUCUAUGCCUUUCUCUGAAGAUGAUUCUGAGGGCUCCAAAUUUAAAGGGGAAAGGGCAGGAUAUUCAGAAGUACACAAUUUUCAUGUAAGAGCGGGGGUAGGGAAAAAUAGUCGUUCAUGCCUUUGUCCGGCUCAGUGACUCUGCAUUUUUUUAUAUAAGGUGAUAUAGACAAAUGGGGCAGAGGAAAAAUGCAGGGUAUCUGUAUUUUACAUAAGAUAACAUAGACAAAAUGGGGCAGGAGAACAAUCAGAUAUGCCUUUGUGUCUGGUGGGCAGGGAGAUGACUGCACCUGUAAGGAUAAGCUAUAAAUUUACAUUGCAAUGGCGAAAUUGUGAAAUUUUAACAGAAACACCUUAAAAGAUCUUGAAGCUCACUAGGAAUUUCCUUGUGGGCAAAAUAUGGCAGAGAUGUAUAGCUUUUCAUCUUGUAGCCAUCUUAUUUAGGAAGCAAAAAGGUGGAAGCAGGUUGCAUCAUCCAGUUCUCGGCCCAGCUUUUCCCUUUGGCUUAAUGAGUUUAGGGUCCCAAGAUUUCAUUUCCUUUC
rnacentral:lncRNA from 10 species